GGGGAAGGGUAGCUUGCUACCUGACCUAGCGGAGGCCGGGUGAGUAAUGCUUAGGAAUCUGCCUAUUAGUGGGGGACAACAUUCCGAAAGGAAUGCUAAUACCGCAUACGCCCUACGGGGGAAAGCAGGGGAUCUUCGGACCUUGCGCUAAUAGAUGAGCCUCAAUUUAUAUAGCUAGGGGGGUGGGGUAAAGGCCUACCAAGGCGACGAUCAAGAACCGGGUCUGAGAGGAUGAUCCGCCACACUGGGACUGAGACCCGGCCCAGACUCCUACGGGAGGCAAGCAGUGGGGAAUAUUGGGACAAUGGGCGAAAGCCUGAUCCAGCCAUGCCGCGGGUGAGAAGAAGGCCUUUCGGCCUGAAAAGCCCCUCCACGCCAGGAGGAGGCUCCCGAGAUCAAAACUGUCGGAUAAGGCACGUUUACUCGCCAAAAACGGACCGGGUAACUUUGUGCCACCAACUGCGCGUAUCAAGAGGGCGCAACACCAAUCGCAUACUGGG
rnacentral:rRNA from 1 species